GAGUGUAUAGCUCAGUGGUAGAGCACAUACCUAACAUGCACAAGGUCCUGGGUUCAAUCCCCAGUACCCCCA
rnacentral:tRNA from 1 species